GAGAUAGGCUGGGACACUGAGAACUGCUAAUUACUCACCACCGUGGUUCAAUUCCACGGCUAACUCG
rnacentral:tRNA from 1 species